GUAAACGAGAAUAUGAGCUAGUACAGAGAUAUAGUAAUU
rnacentral:guide_RNA from 1 species